CAACCUACCUUUUACAAAGGGAUAGCCCAUGGAAACGUGGAUUAAUACCUUAUAGUACUAUAAAUCUGCAUAGAUUAAUAGUUAAAACUACGGUGGUAAAAGAUGGGCAUGCGUCUGAUUAGCUAGAUGGUGAGGUAAUGGCUCACCAUGGCGACGAUCAGUAGGGGUUCUGAGAGGAUUAUCCCCCACACUGGUACUGAGACACGGACCAGACUCCUACGGGAGGCAGCAGUGAGGAAUAUUGGUCAAUGGGCGCGAGCCUGAACCAGCCAUCCCGCGUGCAGGAUGACGGCCCUAUGGGUUGUAAACUGCUUUUCUAUGCCAAGAAACCUUACUACGUGUAGUAAGUUGACGGUAGCAUAAGAAUAAGGACCGGCUAACUCCGUGCCAGCAGCCGCGGUAAUACGGAGGGUCCAAGCGUUAUCCGGAUUCAUUGGGUUUAAAGGGUGCGCAGGCGGGCUUGUAAGUCAGUGGUGAAAUACUGCCGCUUAACGGUAGAACUGCCAUUGAUACUGCAAGUCUUGAAUAUGGUUGAGGUAGGCGGAAUGUGUUGUGUAGCGGUGA
rnacentral:rRNA from 1 species